AGAGUUUGAUUCUGGCUCAGAUUGAACGCUGGCGGCAUGCCUUACACAUGCAAGUCGAACGGCAGCACGGGAGCAAUCCUGGUGGCGAGUGGCGAACGGGUGAGUAAUAUAUCGGAACGUACCUUGGAGUGGGGGAUAACGUAGCGAAAGUUACGCUAAUACCGCAUAUUCUGUGCGCAGGAAAGCAGGGGAUCUUAGGACCUUGUGCUCUUUGAGCGGCCGAUAUCAGAUUAGCUAGUUGGUGAGGUAAAGGCUCACCAAGGCGACGAUCUGUAGCGGGUCUGAGAGGAUGAUCCGCCACACUGGAACUGAGACACGGUCCAGACUCCUACGGGAGGCAGCAGUGAGGAAUUUUGGACAAUGGGGGCAACCCUGAUCCAGCCAUGCCGCGUGAGUGAAGAAGGCCUUCGGGUUGUAAAGCUCUUUCGGCCGGGAAGAAAUCGCAUCGGUUAAUACCCGGUGUGGAUGACGGUACCGGAAUAAGAAGCACCGGCUAACUACGUGCCAGCAGCCGCGGUAAUACGUAGGGUGCGAGCGUUAAUCGGAAUUACUGGGCGUAAAGCGUGCGCAGGCGGUUUGUUGAGAUAGGCGUGAAAUCCCCGGGCUCAACCUGGGAACUGCGCUUAUGACUGGCAGGCUAGAGUACGGCAGAGGGGGGUGGAAUUCCACGUGUAGCAGUGAAAUGCGUAGAGAUGUGGAGGAACACCAAUGGCGAAGGCAGCCCCCUGGGUCGAUACUGACGCUCAUGCACGAA
rnacentral:rRNA from 1 species